CUGCACCAGCCAGGGCUUGAUUGCUGUGAUCAUUUGCACUGUGCAGAAUCCAAUGGGUCUGACUAUCCCUGGGUUCUUUUAAGAUAAUUGCACCCCCAAACACACCUCUCUGCAGUCUUCUCCCCUCUCCUGGUAACAGUGGUGGCCUUGCUAUGUUAAUGUCUCAGCCUCCUCCUUCUUUCCCCAUGCUGACCAUCCGCUCCUGUGCUGAGCCUGGCUGCCCUCACUGCCUGCCCAAGUCUCUCUGCAGCUCAUUACCACUAGUGUGUCCUGAGAGGUUGGCAAAGUCUGCAAAACGAAAACAUCAUCUACUACAUUUUUCAGUUUUGCCACCAAAUUUUGACAGAGCCAAGAGCCUGGAGCUGCUUCUGCUGCCCUGCGUGUGCUCAGUGACCCAGAGGGGAUCUAGCCAAGUCUCUCCUUAGCAGUUCUCAAGCUAUUCUUUCUCUCAUGCUGUGCUGCUCCAGGAGGAGAGGGCAGCUCCUGGAGGACACUAGGUGUGAGGAGGCCUGUUGGACCACCACAGCUCACUUGACUACUCUGAUCCCAGAUUCUGCUGGUUUUAAAAUAGGCAGUGGUCUGACGUGUGAGAGCAGAGGAGGGAUUGUUUUCAGGCUGAGGAUGUGUGAGGAAGGAAGAGGCUGAGGAUGCAGAUGGAAUGGAAGAAAAUGCCAAGUGAUUAAACAGCUGUAGAUGAGUGGAGAUACGGCUUAAGAGAUUGAAGGUCGCCUGCUGGGUGGAGAGAUGGAAGGAAAGAUUGCGUUCACGUGCACCAGGAUUGCAAAUCCACUCCCUCCCCCCAUGUUACAUUGCACUUGUUACUCUUUUUAGCAUCCUCAUAUGUAAACUUUCACAUAGCUCUGUACUGCGCUUUUAUGGCAGUGUCAGCUCUUUCCAUCUCUCAGAACCUCUGCUCUGUUUUGGGGGGAGAAAGCCUACAAAAUAAAACUUGUGCAGUCACACAA